rnacentral:rRNA from 1 species
CCCCUAGUAACGGCGAGUGAAGAGGGAAAAGCUCAAAUUUUGAAUCUGGUGUCUUUGACUCCCGAGUUGUAAUCUAGAGAAGUGUUUUCCGUGUCGGACCGUGUACAAGUUCCCUGGAACGGGGCGUCAUAGAGGGUGAGAAUCCCGUAUAUGCCACGGACUACCGAUGCUCUGUGAUACACUCUCAACGAGUCGAGUUGUUUGGGAAUGCAGCUCAAAAUGGGUGGUAAAUUCCAUCUAAAGCUAAAUAUUGGCGAGAGACCGAUAGCGAACAAGUACCGUGAGGGAAAGAUGAAAAGCACUUUGGAAAGAGAGUGAAACAGUACGUGAAAUUGUUGAAAGGGAAGCGUUUGAAGUCAGUCGCAUCUGUUGGGAUUCAGCCUGGCUUCUGCCUGGUGUAUUUCCUUUCCGAUGGGUCAGCAUCAGUUUCGACCAAGGGAAAAAGACACUUGGAAUGUGGCUGUCUUCGGGCAGUGUUAUAGCCUUGUGUUGUAUGUCUUGGUUGGGACUGAGGAACGCAGCGCGCCAUUUUGGCCGGGGGUCGCUCCUCUCGACACGCGCUUAGGAUGCUGGCAUAAUGGCUUUAAGCGGCCCGUCUUGAAACACGGACCAAGGAGUCUAACAUGUACGCGAGUGUUUGGGUGUUAAACCCGAGCGCGAAAUGAAAGUGAAAGGUCGGGAACAUUCAUUUGUGCACCGACGCCCGGAGCAGACCUUCUGUGACGCAUCCGCGGUAGAGCGUAUAUGUUGGGACCCGAAAGAUGGUGAACUAUGCCUGAAUAGGGUGAAGCCAGAGGAAACUCUGGUGGAGGCUCGUAGCGAUUCUGACGUGCAAAUCGAUCGUCAAAUUUG